GACUCGCCCAGUAAGAAAUUAGAAAAUGCUACAAUAAAACCCGAAAAACUGAGAAAAAAUAAUGUGUCAACUUCAUGAAUGAAAGCGCUCACAAUAUCCACCGUAAACACACACACCUGCGUUAAGUUGGAAGUCACCGAGAGACAACGAAGUACACCUCAGAUCAUUCAUGGAAAGCCAUCGUCUAUAUUAAAAUGCCAGUUCUAGUACAACACAAGUGCCACUGAAGACCUCUGUGAUUCCCCCACCCCUCCUUGGCAGGACUACUUCCGUCCCUUUGGAUCUAUUUGUUUGAAAUCGUUUGGGUGAUGACUCUUUGAAAGUGGUGGUCAUUCUGGGAUGUCAGGUUCAAAAUGCAACAACGACCUCCCUUUUAUGCACAAAUGCUAAUUAAAAUUUUUUACCCCCCAUCCCCAAGCUGCAGAGGGAGAGACUUGGUAGCAAUUUGGCAGAUAAUCAAAUUGCAUUUUAAAUGGAGCCGUUUAAAGAUGACUGGAGUCUGCUCCCGGGAAGACACAGUGGCACGAAUUAAGCUUGAAUAAACUGCUAUGUCGACAGAGGAACAAUGCAACAAAAUUCACAACGCAAUAGGUAGCUGCAUUUAUAUAAAUGGAGAGCAUGCAGUGUUUGAUUCAUGCUUUUGUUAAUUAGUUAAAAAGAACCCAGGUUUGUUUUUGACUAAUGCAUGCAUGCAGGAAUUCUGUUUUUCUUUUAAUUAUUCUUUCACUCUGACUAAGUGGCAUUUUCUUCCUUAUCUGUCUUUUCAAUUUCACCAAAUGAGGCAAAAUGUUAAUAAGACAUGAUUUGUUAACAGUUGCUGUACCUUGGUAACGUUUUUUUUGCCUAAUUUUACAUUUUCAGCCUGACAGAAAGGGCAAGCUGUGUGGAAAUGUUGUCAACAGCUAUGUUUGUCUACAAAAAUCUGCGCUUAGAAGCUGUCCCUCCACAUUUGGUAUACAUCAUUAAGUUCUUCGUGGCCCAUCAAAUUGUUUAUUCACACAGCAUUCCAGUACAUAUUAGUGACAUCUCGUUAGCAGAAAACAGAAAACUGACACAAAAAAUUGUGAAACAGGCCUGAAUUGUUUACCCCCCUGAAUAAGGGGAAAAGUGUUAUUCUCAUGAAAUGAUAGAAUUGGAUCAAAGAUGCAGUUCCCAAAGCCUUCUCUCUCUCUCUCUCUCUCUCUCUCUCUCUCUCUCGCUCUCUCUUUUUCGCACAAAAUUAUGUGUUUGGUUUUUAACACUAUUCUUACUUGGGCAACAUUCCAUGUAAAUUUGAACAUUCAUCACAGGACCAAUACAGCCAUCAGAUCUGCUUCAUAUCCAUAAAACCCUGUUAUGGACAGCACAACAAGUGAUGCUUGACUUGUAAGUGUAAAGGGUCUUAAUUGGCUGUGAUUUGCUGGCUGUACAGCAGUUACUGUGAAAGUGGCAUAAUGAUCCUCCUCGGACGAUACAUUACUUUUCUGGCAACUUAAUGCACCUUAACGCCGCAUGUGUCCGUCCUCGUUGCUUUCAUCUCAGCCCCGAAACAGGGACAUAACAAUGGUUUCGACCUGCCCACUACAGGUUGCACUUGAGCAGAUGUAAUGUUGACCUCCUCCGCCUUCUCUACAGAUAACCACAUCCAGAGAUAGUCCCUUGAGAUCUUUUACAAUGAUCCCCCAAGGCAGUUUCUCUGUUUUCACUUCAUACUUGUGGUCAAAGCAGCUGAAUACAUUUGGAGAACUGUGAAGCAGCAAAGCAGCUCUGCCAUACAGUUUCAGAUGCUUAUUAUCAAAGCAUUUAUCUGCACAGUAGGCCAGGAAAAAAAAGAAAAAAAAAGGAAGUUCCCAAGAUACUUUUGAUGAAAGGAAAUGUUUUUAUUGGUGAAUAUAAUUAAUGCCAUAUAACUGCCUUUUUAACAUUGAGCGGUUUAUAUUGGAUCACCCCUGAUACAAUAGGCUGUACAUUUUAAUGUUCCUGAGCAUUGUAGUAUUUUAGAUUCUAUCUGUAAAAUUUCUAUUCUAAAUUAGCUUUUUGUAAAAAUGUUUUUUUUGGGCCUUAUGGUAAUCUCAAAUUCAGCAUUUUUAUGAACAAGCAUAUUUUUUGUAUAUUACAAUUUUUUGUUGCUGUUUUUUGUAAAAGCAACAUUGAGGAGAGGGCUUCCUAAUUGGAGCGACACAAUCCCUGUCUUAUGAUGUUAAUUGAUAAAUAUUGUUACAAAGUUAAUGACACAAGAGGGAAUUUGAUUGAUCAAGUGGGUGACUGAUCAUAAAACUGCAGUCAAUAUUUGGCUGUAGCUUUAUUUUCCGUCUGAACAGCGGUGUGGCAGGAUGUAUGGCUCGACACACAGCACUGGCAAAACACAUAUUUACACUUCUGUCUCUCCUGAGCCCGCUGCUGCUGCCUCUGUUUGCUAUACAGUAAAUCAUAUCCCAUGAUGCUAAAAUGAACAGUCUUAGUGUGUUUAUUCAGUCGGUGCAAAGGGUAUUGGUUAAACCUCACCAAUUUUUGAGUAGCUGGAGUGAAAAUCUCCCUCUAAUUACUGUACCGUGUGGAUCAUUUGGUCCCUGUCCCCCUGAUGCAACUUGUGGUAUGAAAAGACUAUUUUAUUCAUAGAACUAAAAUUGUAACUUUAGAGACAAUAGUUCUUCUUUUUUUUUACGGUAGAGCAGACUUUAUCUUUUUAAUAAAAAUUCCUUACUUGGCGAAAGUUUAAUUAAUAAGGGACUUAAAGCUAAGGGAAUGAGCAAGGGAGUUGGGUCUUUAAGGGGGUACUUAUUUUUCCAUCUGGGCUAUCCUCCAAAAAAACUGUCAAUUAGUGUGUUAAGCUGAAGAGACAAAAAACGUCAUUAGUUCUUUCAAAAAGAAUAAUGGGUUUUAAAGGUUUUGCUUUGGUGGCAGACCAAAAGCACACGACUGAGUCAUAAGUAUUUUCAUUUAUUUCUUGCAAUUAUAAAUGUUUGAAGGAUGGGUUUAUUGUUCUAAGGGUGACUGAGGAAGCGGACACAGUGGGUUGUUUUGUAACUGUGUACCAUAAUUGUCUGAGAUAAGACAAAUAAAAUGAGUUGUAUUUGGUGGAGUGAAUCAUUGUGUGUAGAAUAUAUAAUUUCUCAAUUCUGAUAGUUCCCUUGUUACCAAACCAUGCUGUUGUUGUUGUUGUUGUUGUUGUUGAUGAUUUGGCUAUGCGCUUGGAUCACGAUUGGAUGACUCGUGUGUGAUGUACUGUUUUUUUAUAUUGUGUAUUUGCCCUGUUUAUGCAUGUGACUUCUUUGCCAAAG